CAAGUCGAGGGGCAGCAUGAAAGGAACUUCGGUUCUUUUUGAUGGCGACCGGCGCACGGGUGCGUAACGCGUAUCGAACCUGCCUCAUACUCGGGGAUAGCCUUGCGAAAGUAAGCCUAAUACCCCAUGGUCUCCUUCCGGGGCAUCCCGGCGGGAGUAAAGGAGCGAUCCGGCGAUGGAUGGGGAUGCGUCCGAUUAGCUUGCCGGUGGGGUCACGGCCCACCGGGGCGACGAUCGGUAGGGGUUCUGAGAGGAAGGUCCCCACAAUGGAACUGAGACACGGUCCAUACUCC
rnacentral:rRNA from 1 species